AUGCUUCGGACAAGUCUACAAAGAACGGGGGCGGGGGGGGGGGCGGGGAGGACACAACAAUCCAAGCGACUACAUACACACACGCGAGAGCGAGCACACUGGCUCUCAAAAGAGUGUGGCUGUGGAAAGGGGACCCGGAGCCUUCCUGGGUCAACAUUUCCGGGCGGUCUUGGUGCGAGUUACCAACCUGCCAAUAACCCGCCGUCUUCACUGUGUAUCCCUGGAUGCAACCGUCUGUGCUCGGGGCUCGGUUUGGGUUCGUCCCCUACCGCAGCUCGGCAAGUCUCGGGGCGCCGAAGCCCGGCUCGCAGGCCUCUCAGGGCUGGCGGAGCUAGCGGGCGGCUCGGCCUCCGCCGGAGAUGCCCCCCCCCCCCCCCGCCCCAAAAGGCAGAACUAGGAUCGCGCUGCUUCCCGGAGCGGCACGAGCGCUUGGCUCAGGUUUCCGCGGGGUCCGGAGCCUCUGGCGUUGAGCACAGAAAGCAGUUCUGCCCGCAGAUGCCUCCAAGACUCAAGUUUCCCGGAGCCGGGGUGGGGGGCGGGGGCAGCACGCCCCGCACGAAGAAAGCGCUCUGCAAACCGCCAAGCCGCUGGGCAAACCGGAGCUUCGGAAACAAUACCUCGGAGAGGCGGGGAGGGGGCCAACAACUUGCCGACCAUGGGCGCCGGCCGCUGCCGGGGGACGGGGUGGAGGGUGGAGGGUGGAGGGGGGCGCGGUGGCGGGAAGGGCCAGGCGCUGCUGCAGCCCCCCCCCCCCCCCCCCCCCCCCCCGCAGCCCGCGCGCUCCGAGAGCCCGUUUCCGGGGUCGGGGUCCCAGGUGACCGCACGGCCCAGGCCAGCCGCGCCCCCGACCCCUGUCGGCCCGUCCGGGUCGCAGCCCCCCCUCCCUCCGCCCCCCGGGCAGCCCCCGCCGGCUCACCUGCGCGCGCCCGGCGUCCUCCGCUUCCCCCCUCGGGAGGCGUCUGGAGCCGACCCGCGGCGCCGUCCCGCCUCCCGCGCUCGCCCCGCCCCCUCCGAGCCGGAACCGCGGGCUUCCGGGCGCUUCUCCCCGCCCCCUCGCCCCUAGUGUGGCGUCACUUCCGCCAGCGCCCGGCCGCGCGCCGCGAGCGUGGGCGUCGCGCACGCGCCGGGAGCGCCCCAGAGUCGGGAGCGCGCCCCGCGGAUGACAACAAAUUCGUCGCGCGGCGGCGGCGGUGGAGGAGGCCGCCUCGGUACCUGCCGCGGGCCGUGCCGCGUGCGCCCCUGCAUCCUGCCUGCGUGACGACUGGGGCCCUCGCGGAGGCCUCCCCACGCCCCCACACCCCCCCGGGCCUGGGGCGUCGGGUCCCCGCCGGGCCUAGCGCGAGCCGCGCGGCGCGGGCCAUGGGGUCGCCCUGA
rnacentral:lncRNA from 1 species